rnacentral:rRNA from 1 species
CGUAACACGUGACCAACCUGUCUUAAGGUGAGGGACAACCUGGGGAAACCCGGGCUAAUACCGCAUGAUGUCCAGACCUCGCAUGGGGAUUGGACCAAAGAGGGCCUCUGCUUGCAAGCUCUCGCCAAAAGAGGGGGUCGCGGCGUAUCAGCUAGUUGGUGGGGUAAUGGCCUACCAAGGCUACGACGCGUAGUGGGUCUGAGAGGACGACCCGCCACAUUGGGACUGAGAUACGGCCCAG